CUGGCCCCUUCGGGGUCCGCGUUGUAAUUUGUAGAGGAUGAUUCGGCGAGGGCUCCCGUCUAAGUCCCCUGGAACGGGGCGUCAUAGAGGGUGAGAAUCCCGUAUGUGAUGGGCUGCCUUAGCCAUGUGAAUCUCCUUCGACGAGUCGAGUUGUUUGGGAAUGCAGCUCUAAAUGGGAGGUAAAUUUCUUCUAAAGCUAAAUACCGGCCAGAGACCGAUAGCGCACAAGUAGAGUGAUCGAAAGAUGAAAAGCACUUUGGAAAGAGAGUUAAAAAGUACGUGAAAUUGUUGAAAGGGAAGCGCUUGCAGCCAGACUUGUCCGCAGUUGCUCAGCCGGUCUCCUGACCGGCGUACUCUUCUGCGGCCAGGCCAGCAUCAGUUCGGGCGGUCGGAUAAAGACCUCGGGAAUGUGGCUCCUCUCGGGGAGUGUUAUAGCCCGGGGUGGAAUGCGGCCAGCCUGGACUGAGGAUCUCGCUUCGGCUAGGAUGCUGGCGUAAUGGCUGUAAGCGGCCCGUCUUGAAACACGGACCAAGGAGUCUAACAUCUAUGCGAGUGUUUGGGUGUCAAACCCAUACGCGUAAUGAAAGUGAACGGAGGUGGGAACCCUCAGGUGCACCAUCGACCGAUCCUGAUGUCUUCGGAUGGAUUUGAGUAAGAGCAUAGCUGUUGGGACCCGAAAGAUGGUGAACUAUGCCUGAAUAGGGUGAAGCCAGAGGAAACUCUGGUGGAGGCUCGCAGCGGUUCUGACGUGCAAAUCGAUCG
rnacentral:rRNA from 1 species